rnacentral:rRNA from 1 species
AUUGAACGCUGGCGGCAGGCCUAACACAUGCAAGUCGAACGAGUGGCGGACGGGUGAGUAACGCGUUGUAACCUGCCUCAUAGCGGGGUAUAACUAUUGGCAACGAUAGCUAAUACCGCAUACUGUGAGAUGUACCUGCGUUGUAUUAGCUAGUUGGGGGGGUAAAGGCUCACCAAGGCGACGUUCCCUAGCGGGUCUGAGAGGAUGACCAGCCAAACGGGAACUGAGACACGGUCCAGACGCCUACGGGAGGCAGCAGUGGGGAAUAUUGCACAAUGGGCGCAAGCCUGAUGCAGCCAUGCCGCGUGUAUGAAGAAGGCCUUCGGGUUGUAAAGUACUUUCAGCGGGGAGGCGUUACCCGCAGAAGAAGCACCGGCUAACUCCGUGCCAGCCGCCGCGGUAAUAC